CUGAGUUAAAAUUUCCAUGCAAUAAGCGAUAUAUAUAGUUAUACAACCAUUUUUAUUACAUGCAAUAAACUAUAAACAUGUGUGUAUUUAAAGUAUACUAUUUGAUAAGUUUUGACUUAUCAAAUGUUUACACCAUGGUACUAACAUGCCAUCAAAAUAAUUAAUUUAUCCAUCAACUCCAAAAUUUCUGUCUACUCCCUGAUAACCUCUCCCUCUGACAUACUUCGGGCAACCACUGACCUGCUUUGUAGAACCAUUAAGAUUGGUUUAUAUUUUCCAGAAUUUUGUUGAGAUGAAUUCAUAUAUUAUACACUCCUUUUGGUAGGGAAGAAGGGGUGUCUGUUUUACUCAAUUAUACUGAUUCAUCCAUGUCAUGCUUACCAAUAGUUUAUUUUUUAUAACUGAAUAGUAUUCUAUUGUGUUUUCUCCAUUUUAUUGCUAUUAAAAAUAGAAUAGCUAUUAAAAAAGUGCUUGAAAUGUCUGAAGACAAAUGCUUUCAUUUCUCUUAAUACCUAAGAGUGGAAAUAUAAUGAUACAUUCAAGGUGUUUUACCUUUUAUUAAUUUAGCAGGGUCUUGAAAGACCGACUCUGAAUUUUAAUCAAAUGUAUCAAUUUGUUUCUUUGUGGGUCAUGCUUUUGUUAUUGUGACUAAGAAACAUUUGCCUAUUAUAAGAUAAUAAAUUUUCUUUCCUAUAUCUUCUUGUAGAAUUCUCACAGUUUUAGGUUUAUAUUUAGUUCUACUAUCCACUUUGAAUUGAGUUUUGUAUACAGUGCAAGGUAUAGACUAUCUGCAUAUGGAUAUUAAGUUAUUGUAGAACCAUUUUUGGUAAGCCUAUGUUUUUUCCACUCAGUUGCCUUUUGACAACUUUGUCAAAAGUUAGAUUAGAGUUAGCACUCCAUAUCUGUGGAUUUCACAUCUGUGAAUUCAACAUAACCACAGAUUAAAAAAAAAUUAAAAAAUAAAAUCCAUCAGUUGCAUCUGUACUAGGCAGAUAUUCUUCCUUGUCAUAAUUCCCUAAGCAAUAUAGUAGAACCACUAUUCAUAUAGAAUUUAUACUGCAUUAUAUAGGAUAAUUAAUCUAAAGAUGAUUUAAAGUAUAUGAGAGGAUGUAUGUAGCUUAUAUGCAGUACUAUGCCAUUUUAUAUAAGGGACUUGGGCAUCUGUGGAUUUUGGUGUCUGAGGGGGAUCCUGAAACCAAUCAUCUACCGAUAUGACAGGACAACUAUAUAUACCUGUGGGAGGCUAUUUCAGGGCUCCCCAUUCUUUCCAAUUGAUCUAUUUUUCAAUAAUGCCAAACCACACUUUGUUGAAUAUUUUAGCUUUAUUCAGUCUUGAAGUCAAAUGUUGUGUUGAAGAAUGUCUGGGAAAACCAAAUAGAGCCAUGUGAAGUAGAGCAGCACAUCAAUCAAAAUAAAUGUCAGUGUUCAUAAUUAAACAUAAUAGAAAUUAAAAGCACAUAGACUAUAUACUGAAUAAUAGAAUAUAAUAAAUAAUUUCAUGACAAUUCCUUUAUUUUGAACACUCAGUUAACUUCUGAAUAAAUAUCACAUCAUUUUAUGUUAUUCCCUAAACCAAUAAUUUUCUGACCUAUUGCUGUCUCUGAAAUAAACUACAAAAUCUGAGGGAUCUCUAUGCCAGUAGAUGCCAAUGAAGGUUUAAUAAGGAGCCUAUUUCCAAAGAAUUCUUGAUAAAAAUAAUGCUCACUGUCUUGUUUCUUUUAAAAUAUCUCCAUGAAUAAACAUUUAAAUGAAAUUUAAGCUGUAUUAUAUCAGGUUAAUACAACUUUAUUAAUGAAUUUUGAAACAAUAUUCAUGGAUUAUUGUAUCUUUAUGACUUAAUUUUAUCUAUCACUGUCACUUUUAUUUUUUGAUUCUUAUCAUAGGCUGAAUAGUACUCCCCUACCCUGAGAUAUAUGGCUAUAUUCUAAGCUACAGAACUUAUACAUGUGGGGUCAGUUGGAGAAAGGUCUUUGCAGAUGUUAUUAAUGUAAGGUUCUCAAGAUGAGAUCAUCCUGGAUUAUCCAGGUAGGCCCUAAAUCCAAUAAAAAAUGACCUUAAAAGAUACCCAGAGGAGAGAUAUCUGAAGGAGAAGAGGCAAUGUGACCAAGAAAGUAGAGAUGAGAGUGAUUCGGGAAAGGAAGCUUGGAAAUUCCAGGAGGCACUGGAAGCUGGGAGAGGCUAGGAAAGAGUCUCCCCAGAAUAUGCAGGCUGUCUGUGGCUCUGCUAUUUUGGAUGUCUAGCCUCCAGAACUGUGAAAAAAAAUUACCUAUUGUUUUAAGCCCUCCAAUUUUUGAUAAAUUUUACAGCAUAUUUAGGAAGCUCAUUUAAUUGUUAUUAAUAUGUAUUGAUUUAGAUGAAUAUUUCUAUUGUUUAAUAUUAGAAAAAACUGGCCAGGCAUGGUGGCUCACACCUACAAUCCUAGCACUGUGGGAGGCCGAGGCAGGGGGAUCUCUACUGCUAACACUACUACUACUACUAGUAGUAAUAAUAAUUAUAAAUACAACAUUUUGUAUAACAGUACAAACUACAAGGUGUUGUAAUGACCUAAUGUCAUUAAAGAAUCAUUUUAUCAUAACAUACGGCCACUUGCUUAUGAGUCAUAAGCUACUUUGUAAGCCCACUGAAUUUUAUGGAUAAGAGCCCAUUUCCCUUAAAAAUGCAUAACAUGAAGGAAUGGAAUGUGUUGUUAAGGGUUCCUAAACUACAUGUUAAAUUUUGUAAUGUUACCUGAAUAUAGAAUGUUAUGAGUUAAAAAUAUAAACUAUAAACUUUAGUGAAACUACUAAUAUAUACAUGAUUUACAGUAAAUAAUGUAACAAAGGGUAAAAAUGGAAUAUAAAAAUUGCUACAUGUUAAGAGUUUUAUAUGUGAAUUUACUUAUGUUGGUAAAUUAAUAUUUUAUUUUUUCUAAUUUUGUUAAAAUAUGCUUGAUAUAUUGAUUUUCAAAUGAAACAUUUAUUCGGUUCUCCACAAAAAUGAUGAAUCUUUUACUAUAUAAAUUGCUCUCUUCAAGGCAACAAGUCUCCAAAGAAAAUACAAACAAUGAAACCACACAAAAAAAAUUGCCUAAUUUAGUCAAAGGUAGCAUAAAAAGAGAAAAUGUGAAUCAAAUAAGUUAGAAUAAAUUUUUUUAAAUUUUUAAUUGCUAUUAAUAUGUACAUUAAAUGUAUGUGGUCAGAACAGCUAAAUUAAAUAGAAGAGAUGGUAAUAUUGGAUUUAGAAAAGCAAAAUCCAAUGAUAUGCUUCUUAUAUGAAACUACUUUAAAUAUAAAGUAAGUUAAAAGGAAAAUAUAGAAUAUUAUAGGCCAUGCUUACAUUAAUAAAAAAUAAACUAUCAUUAUUAACGACAAAAAUAAGAUUAGGAGCAAACAAAUAAUGUUAGGGAGGGGAGGGCUAUUGCAUAAUAAAUAAGGAGCCAAUUAACCAAUCAGAUUUAUACACCUUAAUGCAGAUCAUCAAAAGACAUAAAGCAGAAUCUGGUAGAUCUUCUGUCUCUACCAAUAAUAGACAACUUCACAGUUAUAGUCAAAGAUUUUAACUCUUACAAAAAUUACCAACUAUAUAGAAUACUUAAAUAGUAUGAUAAUCUAAAGUGGUCUAAUUUAUCCAGAAAUAACAGAAUAUAGUUUUCUUAAGAUUCCAUGAACAAUUUAUCAAAGUGAACUAUAUUUUUAUGGACCAUAAUAUACAUCUCAAUAAAUUUAAAAUGAUUUAAUUCAUGCAUGAAUGCUCUCUGACCAAAAUAGAAUUAAAUUGGAAGUCAAUAACAGAAUAGUAACUGGGAAAUCCUCUAGUAACUAAAGCUUAAAUACACUUUUUUUUUUUUCAGAGACGGAAUCUCGCUGUGUCACCCAGGCUGGAGUGCAGUGGUGCUAUCUUGACUCAACUCACUGCAACCUCUGAAUCCCGGAUUCAAGCGAUUCUCCUGCCUCAGCCUCCUGAGUAGCUGGGACUACAGAGAUUGUGGGUGAAGACCAUCUCUGAAAUCUGGAGAAACAGGCAAAUACAGAAAAUUGCAGCUGAAACAAAAUCUCUUGAAGUCAUAAACUGCCAUGUGAAGACAGACACCUGCUCACGCUUUUCCUUCCACCAUGAUUGUAAGUUUCCUGAGACCACCCCAGAAGCAGAUGCUGCCUUGCUUCCUGUACAGUCUGCAGAACUGUGAGCCAAUUAUUUGGUGUUAUACAAUUACUUUCAAUGGCAAAAACCACACACAUGUGAUAAUUUUAAGAUAGUGUUCAGAGUUCUGAAUAAAAUGGAUGUUAACUCUUAAAGAGUACUUGAAAAAAGCUGCCACAGUUUAAAAUCGAGAUAAGGGUAUGAGGGAAUGCAUCUCUGAGAAGGGGACAUUGAAGCUGAAACUUUAAUGUUAAAAUGUCUUAUAAAUAUUGAGUAUACUGAUGGCUUCGUGGGAGAAUUAAUAAGUCAAACUCAUCAAAUUAUACACUUAAAUAUGUAUUAUUUAUUGUAUGUCAAUUAUAUCUCAGUAAUACUGUUUUAUAAAAAGGUUGAUCCAGAAAAUUCCUUAGGCAUUUUCAAAGAUGCUUCUGUAAGGGGAAAAUAAGCUGAUUGUUGUCACAUAGGAUGAUCUUGGGAAUGGCCAGGCAGGCAUGCUUCCUAAGCUGACAGAUACCAGCCAUGAUCUCUUGGUCUGUGUCCCCAUGGGCUGUUAGAGAAGCUCCAUCCGAUGGCAUUUGUCAAUUCAUCUCUCUGUGUGUCCAUCUCUGUUUCCCUGGGUCUUCCCUGAAUUUAAUUCAAGUACCACUAAAGGUGGGGUCUCACCUGGAGCUGUGGUAGUUCAUAGAUUGUUCUGUGACUGCAUUUAAGACAUG
rnacentral:lncRNA from 10 species